rnacentral:rRNA from 1 species
GACGAACCGUGCGAACGUUGUUCGGAUUCACUGGGCUUAAAGGGCGCGUAGGCGGGCGGUCAAGUCGGGGGUGAAAUCUUUCAGCUUAACUGGAAAAGUGCCUCCGAUACUGAUCGCCUCGAGGGAGGUAGGGGCAUGUGGAACUUCCGGUGGAGCGGUGAAAUGCGUAGAUAUCGGGAGGAACACCCAUGGCGAAGGCAGCAAGCUGGGCGACACCUGACGCUGAGGCGCGAAAGCGUGGGUAGCAAACAGG